AUUCCCUCAGGAUAUCUGGUGCAUUUAAAAAUUUUGUAAAAUAAUCUUAUCUGGUAAAACGAGGCCUUAGGGUCUAAACGACCUUAACCUAUUCUCAAACUUUAAAUGGAUAAGAACCACACCUUUCUUGAUAUGAAGGGUGGCUGUGUCCAGUGGGCCACUUUUGGUAAGCAGAACUGGCGCUGUGGACUGAACCA
rnacentral:ncRNA from 1 species